rnacentral:lncRNA from 1 species
CACAGACCCCACUCCACACGGCCCGAGUGCUGCAGGAGGACAAAGACCACUGGGACGAAGUCAAGGAGGAGAUGACCAGUGCCUUGGCCACUAUGCGGGUAGACUACGACCAGGUGAAGAUCAAGGACCUGAAGACCUCUAACAACCGGCUCCUCAACAAGAGGAGAAAAAAGCAGGCAGGCAGCUCCUCUGCCUCACAGGGCUGCAACAACCAGUAGCUCAUGGGGCCUUGGAGGAGCCUGGCCUCUCAGCCUGCAUAACAGACUGAAAUGUGCUCAGGCCCUGGCCAGGAGGGCCCAGGGUCAUUCUUUUAACAAAAGGAUUAUUUUGUUGUGUUUUAAUUUGUCACUCGGAACUUCAGGAUGGAGGACCCUGACCCUAAACCUCCUUCAGAUCUCUGGCCCAGGCUCAAGCCCUAGAGAUGGGCAGGGCCUAGGGGCUGGGAGCUGCCUGCUGCCAUAGCAGCACCUUUAGCUAGGUUGGCCCGAGUGAGGCCUCUGUGCUGUCCUGCCCUGGUGCAUGGCCUUAGCUUUCUAGGCCACUGGGAGUUGUGGCUGGGCUUCCCAUCUUCCACAGAGACAUCUCCCUGUGGGAUGGGCAGAUGGGCCUGGCCUUGAGAAAGGCAUUGGCCAUUGGUUGCCAUGGUGACCAGGGACCACGUUGCUGCCUGUGAAUGCUGAGUGAGCGAGUAAGGGAGGAGGGGCGAUUGAGGGUUCACCUCUGCCUUGGGGAGGCUGAUUUCUCACACACUGGCUGGCCCUCUCAUUCUCACUCCUCCUUGGGCCCUGAGGCUGCUGGAUCCGGUCUGCCUGCCUCCCUGUGCAGUCCAGCCCUGCCUUGCUGCAGCCCCAGCCCAGAUGGCACUCAGCGCUCUCCCCUGAGGGAGUCCCUGGGCCUAGCCAUCCCCUCACUAUUCCCGACCCAAAGGGUGACUUUUCAUCUGAACUUAAGGUGGGAGAUAUUUUUAACUUUUUUCCACUUUGGAAAAUGUCACUGUGACAAAAGCCAGCAUACUUUCCCUGCACCCAUCUGCUCACCAGAUCUCAGGCAGGAAAGCCCCUCUCUGUUGAAGUCAGGGGCUAUCUUUUGGUAUACUUGUGUGAAAGUGGCUGGUUGGGAGCAGAGCUAAGUGGCUUCCCAUUAACCUGAGGUCUCUUUCUUUACUCUGGGUCAGACCUGAGGUUGGGGAAGGCGACUGAGCCAUGCUCAGAAUGUCUGGUCCUGGCUUGGGCCUGAGUAGGGCAGAGAGGGCCUUUCCUGGCUGAUCAGAGCUUACCAGCCCCACCCCACCAUGGUAGCCUUAGGGUGCUGAGUGCCUGAUACUGCCUGACAAGUGCCUGACACGCAGCCUAGUUCCUUCCUGGCCCCUCUCUCACUGGCUGGGAAACCCUAGACCAUGUCAGAUAGGACAACACUGCUGGGUUUUACAUCCAGAUAGUAAUAAACACCAUUUCAU